UUCCUUUUCUUCUUCAUUUUUAUUUUUCUGAUCGCGUUUCUUUUCCUUAUUUUCUUUGUUUUCUUUAUUCUUCUUGGGUUUAAGAUGCUGGGUUGUGUUCAAAGCUUCUAAUUCAGAUGAUUUUAGGUUAAAGUCGCGAUCUUUAUAUGGAUUACACCGACCUCAGCCCUCACAGUCACUUGUUUCAGAAAUAAAAGUACCCCAGAAAUACAGCAUCGGAAAUUGAUUACAGAAGGUAAUGUGAUUUUUAUAGUUGCAUUACAAAACUUAUUACAAACUAAUAAUCCUUGUUCCCAAAGUUCUUGCACCAGAUCUGGGAGGGAAUUGGAUGAACUGGAAGAUGUGGACGUUGCUCGAGCUCGACAGAUUUCAUGGCGAUGGGAAUGCAGAUCAAAACGAUGUCAGCCAUGGCGAAUGCGGUAUUGCGCUUCCAAUGCUUGGUCAGACGUGGGGGAUGCCGAGUUACCUUCAAAACCACCAGGUCGAUAUCGUAAUCGCAUGUUGCACACUUCAUAACUUCAUUCGGAGAUACAGCAACGAUGACAUCAUAUUCAACGAACCGGAUGAAGACACUCCUCCUGACAUGGAUUCCUUUUACCAUAGGGGACAUCCAACCACUUCUGAGUUAGAAGCGCAACGCACCCUCCGAGAUAACAUAGCGCUACAAAUGUGGGCAGCUCACCAUCCAAAUAACCCACAAUGAUGGAAGAACUGGACAAUCAUAUCUAAACUAUUUAAACCUUUUUCUGAUA